rnacentral:lncRNA from 1 species
GUGUUAAAGGGAUUUUCUUAAAUUUUCCCUUUGUCUCUUUAAGAGGCAGGAAGAGUGCAGGAUUUCUUAGUAGAGGAGAACUGGCAGGUGCCAUUUAGCCAGAGCUGAAAAUUCUGUUACCUAGGAGAUGAGGAAGUUAAGAGGGGAACAGUUGGGAGUUGAAGGUCUUUUGCAUCUGGACCUUGAGGGAGUAGGAGCUUCUGUCUCUACUACUGGCAGUUUUUACUACUGACAGUUGGGAUAGAGAAAUGGACUUAAGGAGUUCGUUGUUAUGUCUGACUCUUUGUCAGACCCCAACUUGGGUUUUCUUGGCAAAGAUGCUGUUGUGUUUUACCAUUUCCUUCUCCAGCUCAUUUUACAGAUGAGGAAACUGAGUUGGUCCCAGAGAGAGUCUAGAAUUACCCAUGACCUCUCUCCAAGUAGGAAGGAAGAAUGUCAUUCCUCUCCAAAGCUUCCCUGCCAGCAUACAGCAUCCAUGUUCCCUCACAACAUGAAAAAUGGAAAGUCCAACAGUUUAUUGUCCUAGAGCUAGUGCCAAUCCUGAUGAAUAAGUCUGCCACAGCCAUGGAGUGAUCUGAGGGGAUAGAGGUAGGGUACUCUUUGGCAGGUGGAGAGGAUUUUCCCAAUGGCACCCAGGUAGUUACUGUUGGGACUCCCCUGGUAAUGAGUAGGA